AUUGAACGCUGGCGGAAUGCUUUACACUUGCAAGUCGAACGGCAGCACGGGGCAACCUGGUGGCGAGUGGCGAACGGGUGAGUAAUACAUCGGAACGUGCCCAAUCGUGGGGGAUAACGUAGCGAAAGUUACGCUAAUACCGCAUACGAUCUAAGGAUGAAAGCGGGGGAUCGAAAGACCUCGCGCGAAUGGAGCGGCCGAUGUCAGAUUAGGUAGUUGGUGGGGUAAAGGCUCACCAAGCCGACGAUCUGUAGCUGGUCUGAGAGGACGACCAGCCACACUGGGACUGAGACACGGCCCAGACUCCUACGGGAGGCAGCAGUGGGGAAUUUUGGACAAUGGGCGCAAGCCUGAUCCAGCCAUUCCGCGUGCAGGAUGAAGGCCUUCGGGUUGUAAACUGCUUUUGUACGGAGCGAAAAGGCUCUCUCUAAUACAGGGGGCUCAUGACGGUACCGUAAGAAUAAGCACCGGCUAACUACGUGCCAGCCGCCGCGGUAACAC
rnacentral:rRNA from 1 species